rfam:Triticum aestivum genome assembly, contig: Triticum_aestivum_CS42_TGACv1_scaffold_513933_6BS
CUACUACUCCCUUCGUCCGAAAAUACUUGUCAUUGAAAUGGAUGUAUCUAGAUGUGUUUUAGUUCUAGACACAUCCAUUUUGAUGACAAGUAAUUCCGGACGAAGGGAGUAUUAU